AUGAUGAGGUUCGAGUCCGUAAUUGGCUUCGCGCUCAUAGUCGCCGGGCUCUGGCCGCUGCACGCGGCCGCGCAGAAGUACGCCGCUAUCUUCAACUUUGGCGACUCCCUCGCCGACGCCGGCAACCUCGUCGUGGAUGGCAUCCCGGAGUACCUCGCCACGGCGCGCCUACCGUAUGGCAUGACGUACUUCGGGUACCCGACGGGGCGCGUCUCCGAUGGCGGCCUCGUCGUCGACUUCAUCGCGCAGGAGCUGGGUCUGCCUCUGCUGCCGCCGUCCAAGGCGCACAACGCGUCGUUCCACCGUGGUGCCAAUUUCGCGAUCACCGGCGGCACGUCGCUGGACACGAGCUUCUUUGAGGCGCGUGGGAUGAGGCACACGGUCUGGAACUCCGGCUCCCUGCACACCCAGCUCAAGUGGUUUCAAGACAUGAAGCCAUCCAUCUGCAACUCGCCAGAAGAGUGCAGGGACCUGUUCCGGCGGUCGCUGUUCAUCGUCGGCGAGUUUGGCGGGAACGAUUACGCGGCGGCGCUCGGCGCGUUCCUCCCGGUUCAGAAGGUGCACACGUUCGUGCCGCACAUCGUCGACUCCAUCGGCAAGGGAAUCGAGAAGCUGAUCGCGGAGGGGGCGGUGGAGCUGGUUGUGCCGGGCGUGCUGCCGAUCGGCUGCUUCCCCGUGUACCUGUCCAUCUUCCUCAAGCAGCAGCCGGAGAUGUACGGCCCACGCAGCGGCUGCAUCAAGGACCUUAACACGCUGUCCUGGGUGCACAACGCCCUGCUGCAGCGGAAGAUCGCCGGGCUCCGGAAGAAACACCCCAGCGUGCGCAUCAUGUACGCGGACUACUACACCGCCGUCACGCAGUUCGUCCUGCACGCCGAGAAGUGGGCUCAUUUGUGGAGGUUGUGGAGGCAGAGGUGGAGGUUGUGGCGGUGGUGGAGGUGGAGGUGGUGGUGGAGGUGA
rnacentral:rRNA from 1 species